CCUACGGGGGGCAGCAGUAAGGAAUAUUGGUCAAUGGAGGCAACUCUGAACCAGCCAUGCCGCGUGCAGGAAGACGGCCCUAUGGGUUGUAAACUGCUUUUGUACCAGAGAAAACCCUCUUACGUGUAGGAGGUUGAUAGUAUGGUAAGAAUAAGCAUCGGCUAACUUCGUGCCAGCAGCCGCGGUAAGACGAAGGAUGCAAGCGUUAUCCGGAUUCAUUGGGUUUAAAGGGUGCGUAGGCGGGCCUGUAAGUCAGUGGUGAAAUCUCUCAGCUU
rnacentral:rRNA from 1 species